UGCCUGAGAAACUAUAAACUUCAGUCUCCUUAUGGAUCAAUGAGGCUUUUAGAGGCAUUCCAUCACAACAUGGAUCUGGCCUUUUAGAUACAUUUUCCUACCUGCUCUUUAGGAAGAAGCCAGGUAACUUAGAACCACAUCUGACCUUGUUCUGCCACGAUGGGCAUCUGAAAGCGACCUUGGCAAAUAUUCCUCUUCAUUCCUGUGGAAUAUUGGCGGCAUGUGUCCAUCCAACCUUUUGUACUUCAGAGUGAACUUCUCAGUCAUCUUGGAAUAAUCUUGCGUCUGUCUAGUUCAUCCGAGUGUGGGAAAAAUAAUCUCCAUAUGAAGGGCCAUCUGGAGCACCGGGUGUAUAAUAAAUCACUGUGAACAGCAAUUAUACUUAUUGGGAGCCCAGUUAUUUUCUUGCAAGUAGAAACAGGAGGAUACGCUAUUGGCUUCUGAAAACAAUGUUGUCACGAACUUCCUUCUGGGAGAGCCGAAGGUCAGGAAGACCCCAGGCUGUCAGUCUGAGAAGAAAGGAGCUGCUAUAGUGGGGGAAUGGAAGACUAUCUGGAUUUUCCUCUUCUCCUUCAGCUGUAGUCCCUACAAAGAUCUAACAUGUUUUUAUCCUACGUAGCUUUUCUUAUAUCCUUUUAGAAAGUAUUACCCUUUGCAAUUUGCACUGAUCUGUUGAUCUUGACCAAGAUGCAGGUUUUCAAGGCAAAGUCACUUAGUAGCUGAAUGACCUUAAGUGAGCCAUCUCCCUCCCUCAGCCACUCCUUCCCCAAGUGGAGAAAGUGGCUAAUGGAAAUGUACCUAAUGUGGCUAACCUCCUGGCACAGAGGGGACCAAUAAACAUGAAUUCCCUUCUCUCUUAAGUAAAAAAUCCCAAAGAAGAGGAAGUCGACAUGCAAAUAACUUUAAAUAGCAUAAUUUCAACAGCAAAUAGAUACAAUCUAAAUGUUAGACAAUAGGCUGUUUAAAUCAAUUAUGUGUUCUAGAUACCACCAUUCUUCUAUUAACAGAUGCCACCCUCCCCCUUCUCCCCAUUAAAGGACUGGAAAAUCAACUCAGAAAGGACACUGUCUCCCUUCUUUUUUAUCACAGUGAUUGGUCCAGGAUGGACACACGGUUCAAUCCAGCUCAAAGGGCUUCCCUUAGAUUUUCCUGUCGAAAAGAUUUUGUCUUCCUUUUUUGGUGGAGAGUUGUAUGACUGACUCCUACAUUUUCAGGUGGCAUGGCCCCCAGCACAUGGAAGAGUCUGGAAGGAGAAUGGGAAGUGAAGAAUCUGGUGAUAUCAAGCUACUGGCCCCCAAUCCUUAGGUUCCCAUGGCUGCUUGGUUCUCACAGUUCAGUGAGCAAUCCCAGAAUUUUCCCAUUAAAUUUCCCUUUUCCUUCAGCUAGCUGGAGUU
rnacentral:lncRNA from 1 species